rnacentral:lncRNA from 12 species
ACGCCACUCCUGCUACAUUUCGAGCUACAGCUUCAGUGUCCUCCAUGUGGCCAGACACUGGUGGAGAACAGAGCAUCCACUGGCCCCCACCCCGACAGACCCCCAUCACUAGGACCAAGACAGGAGGUGAACAGAGCAUCUGCUGGACCCGGUGCCCACAGACCCCCGUCACUAGUGCUAAGACUGGAGAAGAACAUAGUAUCCAUUGGAUCUGGUGCCCAUGAACCCCCAUCACUAGUCCCAAGCCUGGAUGACAACAGAGCAACCACUGGGCCUGGUGCCCAUGGACCCCCAUCACUAGUCCUGAGUCUACAGAGGAACAGAGUAUCCACUGGACCUGGUGCCCAUGAACCCUCCUUACUUGUCCUAAGUCUGCAGGAAAACAGACCCUCCACUGGGCCCUGUGGAAACAGACCCCUGUCACUAGUCCUAAGUGUGGAGGAAAACACAGCAGCCACUGGACCCGAAACCCAUGGACCCCCAUCACUAGUCCUAAGUCUAGAUGAGUACAGAGCAACCACUAGCCCCAGCACUGAUGGACUCCCAUCACUAGUCCUAAGUCUGGAUGAACACAGAAUAUCCACUACACCUGGUGCACCAGCAACCCCAUCACUAGUCCCAAGUCUGGAGAUCGGAGCAUCCACUGGGCCUAAUGACCAGAGACCUGCAUCUCUAGUCCCAAGACUGGAUGAGAACAGAGAAUCCAAUGGACCUGGUGAACACGGACCCCUACCAUUAGUCCUAAAUCAACAAGAGAAUAGAGCAUCCACUGGACCUGGUGCCCAUGGACACUUGUCACUAGUCCUAAGACUGGAUGAGAAUAGAGCAACCACUAGCCCCAGCACUGAUGGAUCCCCAUCACUAGUCCUAAAUCUAGAGGAGAAGAGAGUAUUUGCUGCACCUGCUGCCCAUGGACCCUCAUCACUUAUCCUAAGUCUGCAGGAGAACAGAGCACCCGCUGGGCCCUGUGGAAACAGACCCCUGUCACUAGUCCUAAGUGUGGAGGAGAACAGAGCAUCUAUUACACCUGAUAAUCAUGGACACCCAACACUAAUCCUAAAUCUGGAGGAAUACAGAAUAUCCACUGGACCUGGUGCCCCAGGACCCCCACCACCAGUCCCAAGCCUGGAGGAGAGAAGAGCAUCUGCUGGAUCUGGCACCCAGGGAUCCCCAUCAUCAGUCCCAAGUCUGGAGGAGAGAAGAGCAUCUGCUGGAUCUGGUGCCCAGGGAUCCCCAUCACCAGUCCCAAGUCUGGAGGAGAGAAGAGCAUCUGCUGGAUCUGGUGCCCAGGGAUCCCCAUCACCAGUCCCAAGUCUGGAGGAGAGAAGAGCAUCUGCUGGAUCUGGUGCCCAGGGAUCCCCAUCACCAGUCCCAAGUCUGGAGGAGAGAAGAGCAUCUGCUGGAUCUGGUGCCCAGGGAUCCCCAUCACCAGUCUCAAGCCUGGAGGAGAGAAGAGCAUCUGCUGAAUCUGGUGCCCAGGGAUCUCCAUCACCAGUCCCAAGUCUGGAGGAGAGAAGAGCAUCUGCUGGAUCUGGUGCCCAGGGACCCCCAUCACCAGUCCCAAGUCUGGAGGAGAGAAAAGCAUCUGGUGGAUCUGGCACCCAGGGAUCCCCAUCACCAGUCCCAAGCCUGGAGGAGAGAAGAGCAUCUGCUGGAUCUGGUGCCCAGGGACCACCAUCACCAGUCCCAAGUCUGGAGGAGAGAAGAGCAUCUGGUGGAUCUGGCACCCAGGGAUCCCCAUCACCAGUCCCAAGUCUGGAGGAGAGAAGAGCAUCUGGUGGAUCUGGCACCCAGGGAUCCCCAUCACCAGUCCCAAGUCUGGAGGAGAGAAGAGCAUCUGCUGGAUCUGGUGCCCAGGGAUCCCCAUCACCAGUCCCAAGUCUGGAAGAGAGAAGAGCAUCUGCUGGAUCUGGUGCCCAGGGAACCCCAUCACCAGUCCCAAGCCUGGAGGAGAGAAGAGCAUCUGCUGAAUCUGGUGCCCAGAGAUCUCCAUCACCAGUCCCAAGUCUGGAGAAGAGAAGAGCAUCUGCUGGAUCUGGCGCCCAGGGAUCCCCAUCACCAGUCCCAAGCCUGGAGGAGAGAAGAGCAUCUGCUGGAUCUGGUGCCCAGGGACCACCAUCACCAGUCCCAAGUCUGGAGGAGAGAAGAGCAUCUGCUGGAUCUGGCGCCCAGGGAUCCCCAUCACCAGUCCCAAGUCUGGAGGAGAGAAGAGCAUCUGCUGGAUCUGGUGCCCAGGGAUCCCCAUCACCAGUCCCAAGUCUGGAGGAGAGAAGAGCAUCUGCUGGAUGGGGCACCCUGGGACCCCUAUCACCAGUCCCAAACCUGGAGGAUAGAAGAACAUCUACUGAAUCUGGUGCCCAGGGAUCUCCAUCACUAGUCCCAAGUCUGGAGGAGAGAAGAGCAUCUGCUGAAUCAGGUGCCCAGGGACCCCCAUCACCAGUCCCAAGUCUGGAGGAUAGAAGAGCAUCUGCUGGAUCCGGCGCCCAGGGACCCCCAUCACCAGUCCCAAGCCUGGAGGACAGAAGACCAUCUACUGAAUCUGGUGCCCAGGGACCCCCAUCACCAGUCCCAAGUCUGGAGGAUAGAAGAGCAUCUGCUGGAUGGGGCACCCAGGGACCCCUAUCACCAGUCCCAAGCCUGGAGGAGAGAAGACCAUCUACUGAAUCUGGUGCCCAGGGAUCCCCAUCACCAGUCCCAAGUCUGGAGGAGAUCAGAGCAUCUACUGGGCCCUGCGCCCAAAGAUCCCCAUCACUAGUCCCAAGACUAGAGGAGAUCAGAGCAUCUGCUUGGCCCUGCGCCCAAAGAUCCCCAUCCCUAGUCCCAAGACUGAAGGAGAUCAGAGCAUCCACUGGGCCCUGGGCCCAAAGAUCCCCAUCAUUAGUCCCAAAUCUGGAGGAGAGAAGAGCAUCUGCUGGAUCUGGUGCCCAGGGACCCCCACCACAAGUCCCAAAUCUGGAGGAGAGAAAAGCAUCUGCUGGAUCUCACACCCAGGGAUCCCCAUCACCAGUCCCAAGUGUGGAGGAGACAAGAGCAUCUGCUGGAUCUGGCGCCCAGGGAUCCCCAUCUCCAGUCCCAAGUCUGGAGGAGAUCAGAGCAUCCACUUGGCCCUGUGCCCAGGGACCCCCAUCACUAGUCCCAAGUCUGGAGGAGAGAAAAGCAUCUGCUGGAUCUCGCACCCAGGGAUCCCCAUCACCAGUCCCAAGUCUGGAGGAGACAAGAGCAUCUGCUGGAUCUGGUGCCCAGGGAUCCCCAUCACUAGUCCCAAGUCUGGAGGAGAGAAGAACAUCUGGUGGAUCUGGUGCCCAGGGAUCCCCAUCACUAGUCUCAAGUCUGGAGGAAAGAGCAUUCACUGGGCCUGGCAGCCACGGACUUCUGUCACUAGUCCUAAGUCUGCAGGAGAACAGAGAAUGCACUGAACCUGGUGCCCACGGACCCAUGUCACUAGUGUUAAGUCUGGAGGAGGACAGAGAAUCCACUGGACCUGCUGCCCAUGGACCCCCGUCACUAGUUCUAAGUCUGCAGGAAAACAGAGCAUCCACUGGCCCCAGUGCCCAUAGAUCCCUGUCACUAGUCUUAAGUCUUCAAGAGAACAGAGCAUCAGCUGGCCCGGAGCCCAAGGACCCCCAUCACUAGUCCCAAGAUGAGCACAGAACAUCCACUGGUCCAGCACCCCUGGACCCUCAAACCUCUUCCCACCACCUGCUGGCAGGGGGAUUUCUCUCUAUGUUCUUUCCUCAUUUUCUGGAUUAAAAUUUUUCUCUUCCAUUUCUCUACUGUUUGAGAGUCAUACACUUAUUCUCCUUUCAGUUUUCCAGUGGGGCCACUCGCAUUUUUAACUGUCUGCCUAGAUCGAGCCCAUCUGAAGGUUCCAGCUCUGCCGUCCUACAGCAUGCACACCGCUUGGGUCCUUCCCCCGACUGCCCUUGCUGUUUGCCUCACUGUGGCCUGGGUUGCGGGGUCUACCCUUGCUGUUCUAACAACUCACAUGAGUCUCCCUCACCUUUAUUUUCAUUUUACAGCCAACACGUUCCUAUUCACCCACAUCUCCCACUCUGUAAACCUUCCCCUUGGCAUCAUAACUUUCUCGCUCUGGCUUUACAUCUCCUGUCUUGGGUAAGCCCCCUUUGCCAUUGCUUGUUCAAAAAUGUCUGUAUUUCACUUAUGAACAAUAACUUAGCCACGUUUACCAGUCCUCAGUGUGCAGCCUGAUUAUUCCACUACGUUCCAGCUGUCUUGCUGCUAUUGAGAUGUCAGCUGUUAGCCCAUAGCUGCCACAGAGAACAUUUAGCUUUUUUCUCUGUGUGCCUUUGAGGUUUUAUUUUUGUCUCUCAACUGGUAAAUGGAAGAAGUGGGCAAGCUGCAAAGAGGAGCUUCAGGCAGAGAUCAGGCAAGAGGAGAAAUGUAAGAUGAACCUAAGUAUCAGUGAACUUAAAUUUCACAUCUGGAGGUGAGCUGCAGCGGACAAGAUGAAGACAGAAGGUGGCAGGGGACAGAACAUGUGAUGGAGGGCGCGUGCCUGGUGGGAGAGGCUUGUUGAGGCUGAGCCUGGCCACACGUGCCGUCCCGUCUUCCCAGAGCUUCCGGGUGGCUGUUGUGCCUCCUUAUCAAGUGCAAGCCCAGGCCCGGGGUGACU